rnacentral:rRNA from 1 species
UACGGAGGGUGCGAGCGUUGUUCGGAAUUACUGGGCGUAAAGCGCGUGUAGGCGGUCGCCUAAGUCUGAUGUGAAAGCCCGAGGCUUACCCUCGGAAGCGCAUUGGAAACUGGGCGACUGGAGUAUCGGAGAGGAGGGUGGAAUUCCUGGUGUAGCGGUGAAAUGCGUAGAUAUCAGGAAGAACACCGGUGGCGAAGGCGGCCCUCUGGACGAACACUGACGCUGAGACGCGAAAGCGUGGGGAGCAAACAGG